UCACUUAUUUUGUACAUAAAUUUUAGAGGGGUCAUUCACAUUGUACAUGCUUCUCUAUAAAAUCAUCAUCAUCCCCCCAAGCCAUAAAUUAAUAACAGUCCCUUAAGUUCAUAAUGUGUUUGUCUCUAUUUCGACUUUCGAUAAUCUUAUCAGCUGUUAACAGAACCAAAGAAUUAGUACUUACACUGUUGUAAACUGAUUGAUAUAUUUAUCUUGUAAUUGUGUAAAUUGUCUUAGAUUGAGGCAGUGCAAGUCUUGCUUCAAAAGGAUCACAAAAAAUCCUCUAAAAAGCAAAAGAAGGAAACGCAAGCAUGGGUUUAUAAAAUCCUUGUUUAUUCAAAUAUUAUUCUCAGUUUUAAUCAUGUUCAUCUUUUAUUUGAUAUUUCAUAUAGCUAUACUGGAUUCAGUGAUAAAAGUCUUUUGUUUUGUUUUUUUCUAAAACAGAAACGUGGGAACUUUAUGUGGUUGUCCAAAUAUAACUGUAAGGUGAUUGACAUGAGACAGUCAUUGUUGCCUGUGUCAUGAGUUACUUUCUCUUGAAGUGUACAUGGAAAAUACUUGACACUCUGGAUGGAAACCACAAGAAACAAAUGGCUGUUUUCGCUGAAUAGAUUUACAGCUGAUAUGAGUACCAUAUUGAGUCAAAGUAUUUUAUUACUCUUUCAUUAUUGAUUGUUACAUAACCAUGCAAAUAUAUGAUAUAACCUGAAAUACACUGAUGGAAUAGCAAAUGGAACAGAUAAUCAUGAUGAGAAUGCAAAUAUGAACAAUCAUUUCACCGUCAUCUGGGAUGGUACAUUUGUAAGGUAGUUUUAAAAGUGUUCACUGACCACACCGAAGACGUGGGUUCAAUUCCCCACAUGGGUACAAUGUUUGAAGCCCAUGUGUUUCUGAAAGUGUUCUAUAAGGGCUGUGUCUCUUAAAUGUUCCAUAGGGGAUGUAUCUCUGAAAGUGUUCUGUAAGGGAUGCGUCUCCUAAAGUGUUCCGAAGAGGAUGUGUCUCUGAAAGUGUUCUGCGCUCUUCUUCAAAACACAUACCAACACAUUUCUCUGUUCCUUUCUCCAUCAGUAUAUUCAGAGAUCAUCAUUGAAAAGCCACAUGGUGUUUCAUUUUUUCAUUGGAUGCAAUUGUUUAAAUGCAAUGGAAACAUGCAGAGAUGUAAUAGUAAGCUUGAGAUAUUGGUACCUUUUUCGAAUAAGACUUUCAUAUAUUCAUUUGUGAAGAUUGUUUGAAAAAGGAUACACCUAACUCAAGCUCAAGUUUAGUUGUAGUGUAGAAAGAUGUUCCAUAUUUGAUGCAAUGUUGAAUACCGCUAUGCUGCAAUGUUUAUGUCGGUGAUGUCUGUUCAACAGGUGGUCUAGUUAUUUUUGUCAGCAUUGUUGAUAUGGUUUCUAGAGAAAGCACUUGUUUUCAUAGACAAAUAAAUGGUGUCUAUUUUAAGUAUUCUUUACAAACACUUGUUAAAAAUCAACAGUCCAGAAAAAACGUUUGUAAAAAUGUGCCAUAUUUAUUUACAGAAAAAGCACUUUGUAUGCAUUUAUUCAAAUCCAGAUUGUUGAUAUGAUAAUUAAAUUAAAUGUUACCUUCAUCAUCA